rnacentral:rRNA from 1 species
GACGAACGCUGGCGGCAGGCCUAACACAUGCAAGUCGAGCGGACCUUUCGGGGUCAGCGGCGGACGGGUGAGUAACGCGUGGGAAUAUGCCCUUCUCUACGGAAUAGUCCUGGGAAACUGGGGGUAAUACCGUAUACGCCCUUUGGGGGAAAGAUUUAUCGGGGAAGGAUUAGCCCGCGUUGGAUUAGGUAGUUGGUGGGGUAAUGGCCUACCAAGCCGACGAUCCAUAGCUGGUUUGAGAGGAUGAUCAGCCACACUGGGACUGAGACACGGCCCAGACUCCUACGGGAGGCAGCAGUGGGGAAUCUUAGACAAUGGGGGCAACCCUGAUCUAGCCAUGCCGCGUGAGUGAUGAAGGCCUUAGGGUUGUAAAGCUCUUUCAGCGGGGAAGAUAAGGACGGUACCAGCAGAAGAAGCCCCGGCUAACUCCGU